rnacentral:rRNA from 1 species
CAGCCGCCAGGUAAUACGUAGGGUGCAAGCGUUAAUCGGAAUUACUGGGCGUAAAGCGUGCGCAGGCGGUUAUAUAAGACAGAUGUGAAAUCCCCGGGCUCAACCUGGGAACUGCAUUUGUGACUGUAUAGCUAGAGUACGGCAGAGGGGGAUGGAAUUCCGCGUGUAGCAGUGAAAUGCGUAGAUAUGCGGAGGAACACCGAUGGCGAAGGCAAUCCCCUGGGCCUGUACUGACGCUCAUGCACGAAAGCGUGGGGAGCAAACAGGAUUAGAUACCCCCGUAGUCCCUGUCUCUUAUACC